CGUGGGGAACCUGCCCCAUAGUCUGGGAUACCACUUGGAAACAGGUGCUAAUACCGGAUAAGAAAGCGGAUCGCAUGAUCAGCUUUUAAAAGGCGGCGUAAGCUGUCGCUAUGGGAUGGCCCCGCGGUGCAUUAGCUAGUUGGUAAGGUAAAGGCUUACCAAGGCGAUGAUGCAUAGCCGAGUUGAGAGACUGAUCGGCCACAUUGGGACUGAGACACGGCCCAAACUCCUACGGGAGGCAGCAGCC
rnacentral:rRNA from 1 species